rnacentral:tRNA from 1 species
AAGUCCCGAGGUGUAUUAGACAUAUUAGAUUGCAAAUCUGAAGAAGCAGACUAAUCGUCUGCCGGGGCUUUCC